AAACAUUCAAGUGUUAAAUGUAGUCCAAAAGGUGAGGAUGAUAACAAGGUCUUAUCAUCAACUUCUCGUGUUGAUGUACAUCCUGCGCUGAAGAAGAAGAAGUUGCACUGGGGGUUAGACGCGAAAGAACGGUGGGAAAGAAAGGCCAACAUGUAGAAUUUACGGAUUUACUCAAAUGGAAAAGAAGCAUAUCGAUUAUGGUCUCAGCAUGGCAGACUCUAAGCAUUUUAAUUGUUCACUUUCUGCAGCUUAGUUGGGGAUGAUCCUGCAGUCUGCAUUUUGGUCGAUGAAUACUGGGAUUACUUUGGAUGAAUUAUGAAGGAUAUUGCACUUGCAAAUACUCUUUAGUCUUUACUAGUGAUUACUUAUCUGUUGUCUCGAAUGGGAAGGGACUGUUAUGCAUCAAGGGAAGGGGUUUGUUUGUUCUUUGUAGUGGCUGUGUAGCAGUGUAGGUUAUGGAGGGGAGCAAAGAGCUUUUGUAUAUCUAGUUAAGGACGAAGAGGUUGUAGUACUGGCAAAUUAUUUGUAGAAUCAAUUUGUUGUUAUCAUUUGUUGAAUCAAUUUUCUCCUA